rnacentral:rRNA from 1 species
UACGUAGGUGGCGAGCGUUAUCCGGAUUCACUGGGUUUAAAGGGUGCGUAGGUGGGCAGUUAAGUCAGUGGUGAAAUCUCCGGGCUCAACCCGGAAACUGCCAUUGAUACUAUCUGUCUUGAAUAUCGUGGAGGUAAGCGGAAUAUGUCAUGUAGCGGUGAAAUGCUUAGAUAUGACAUAGAACACCAAUUGCGAAGGCAGCUUACUACCCGAAUAUUGACACUGAGGCACGAAAGCGUGGGGAUCAAACAGG